rnacentral:rRNA from 1 species
GAACCUGCGGAAGGAUCAUUACCGAGUGAGGGCCCUCUGGGUCCAACCUCCCACCCGUGUUUAUUUUACCUUGUUGCUUCGGCGGGCCCGCCUUAACUGGCCGCCGGGGGGCUUACGCCCCCGGGCCCGCGCCCGCCGAAGACACCCUCGAACUCUGUCUGAAGAUUGUAGUCUGAGUGAAAAUAUAAAUUAUUUAAAACUUUCAACAACGGAUCUCUUGGUUCCGGCAUCGAUGAAGAACGCAGCGAAAUGCGAUACGUAAUGUGAAUUGCAAAUUCAGUGAAUCAUCGAGUCUUUGAACGCACAUUGCGCCCCCUGGUAUUCCGGGGGGCAUGCCUGUCCGAGCGUCAUUUCUGCCCUCAAGCACGGCUUGUGUGUUGGGCCCCGUCCUCCGAUCCCGGGGGACGGGCCCGAAAGGCAGCGGCGGCACCGCGUCCGGUCCUCGAGCGUAUGGGGCUUUGUCACCCGCUCUGUAGGCCCGGCCGGCGCUUGCCGAUCAACCCAAAUUUUUAUCCAGGUGACCUC